UUGUCCCAUCUAACAAUAACAGCAUAAU
rnacentral:sRNA from 1 species